rfam:Schistosoma rodhaini strain Burundi genome assembly, scaffold: SROB_scaffold0000870
AUCUGUUUGAUGAGUCCCGAAUAGGACGAAAUCCGCGUCCUACAU